CUCUCUCUCUCUCUGUCUCUGUCAUUUUCACAGCGGGAGCCCUCGUGCCUGUUUUCGCCGUGUGGUGUUGAGGCUGCACGAGACGUCUUCCUGGCCCUUGCAUGCCUGUCUGAUGAAGGAAUGGAGACGUUAAUAGCAUCACUCUGCCGUCGCUGCGCCCCACUCUGAGUGGCUGUUUGAGGAUGUCAGAAAGGUCCUGGGGCGGCAGCAGCAGAGUUUGGGACCAGGUGGGUUUGCUAAUGGCAUGCCAGUGGAGGAAUCUGUGUCUGUCAGCGUUGAACUUGUCCGGUGGGAAUCACCCCUGGAAUGUGUUUAGCAUCACAGCUGAGGGUGUCGGGGGUCAGGUGGCUGAGCGGGACUGGUGUGUGUUGGUGUGUCUGUGUGUGUGUAAAACCAUGUCUGCAUGAUUUAUCCUGCAGGAAGCACCAUGAAUCACUCUGUGUGGAACAUGCAGACUGAGCAUUUCUACGAUUGUUGGAGUUGAUUUUAGAUAUAAAUACAUAAAUAUGAUUAAAAUAAGUCAUUUUGGUUGAUACAAACCAUCACUUCCACACACCAUUCUUGUUUUUAUUUAAAAAUAAUGAAUCAGAUUUAGUUAAUUGAUUAGUUUAACUUUUAUGGAUGUCAUUCAUGUAGUUCAUGACACAAUUAAAAAAAAAUAAAAUAAAAUAAAGUUGCUCAUUCUAGUAGAAAUGCACUCACGCACAAGUGUGCACAUGUGUCUUUCCGUCACUGGGGUGUUGAUGGAUUAUGAAGGGGCCCGUGUUGGGGGAACACCAGGCCUUCAAUGUCGCAGCCUGACCUCUAAAUACACACCCGAGCACCCGAGGGUCGUGACCCCAGGGUGUCCAGGGACCAGUUGCUGCGUGGGCCCUCUCCUACUCACGCGAGAGCAGUUGGGUCAAAGCAUAUGACCGAACCACUUGCUUCAGAUGUCAGGGGAUAAUUUACUGCGGUCUUUUGAUGCCACACCAACAGUCCUGACAAAUGUUACACCUCCGUACGAGGACAGAUAGUGUGUCAAUCUCUUGCUCAAAAUGUAAAUUUGGAAAAUUUUUCCACUGCUUGGAAAAUUGUUCACAGCGAGAAAGUGGAGACGAUUGGCUGUUCAAAGUCUCAAUGUAAACAUACCAUCUUACAGUUGUGUUUUUUAAGGUUUACCAAAGCCAGGUGGCCAGUUCCCGCUGAUCUCUCAUAUUUCUUGCAUCCAGACAUUUGGGGAAAGCCUCAUGAAAGAAAGUGUGUGGCUGCAGCCGUACUGGGUGUGUUUAUACACUGAAUUCAGGAGUAUCAUUGCCCACACUCACAACCAUCUGCCCGCUUACGUUACACGACCCUGCAAACUUACAUUUUCUCUUUUUAUUUCCUUUCUCAGGAGAUCCCGGUCUCAACAAGCUCGCUUUAUAUCACAUGCAUUUUUCUGUGAAAUGCCACUGUGUCGGUUUUCGACAGGCUGUAACAUGCUGUCAAAGCGCUGCCAGUCAACAUGAUGACAGUGGAAGAUUAGCAUCCCAACAGAGGCUGCAGGAGGGAGAAAACAGGAAGUUAGGGGUUGAGUGGGUUGAACAGAGCUCUGAUGUGUCGAGCUAAAACUGUGUCAUCUUAUCUGUCUCCAUCAACUAUGGGAUGGUGAAGCCAGGCAGGCAGGAGAAAACUGGCAACUCUCCCCAGUAACUUCUCAUUACACCCCAUGGUUUAAUAACUCGCUUGUCACUCCAGCCAGCCCCCCCGACCCCUGACAAUCAUUCAACAUGGUACUGACACAACUUUUAAACAAUACAUCUGCAUUCCUUCCAUCCUCAGGCCCCAUCUGACAGCAGCUCAGGGCCGAACACGACACGGCAAACAAACCGCUGCUGUCAGUCUCAAUACUAAAUAAUGUUGGAAAUUUCUGCCGUGCGUUCCACAGGCAUCUGGCACGGUGCAGUAGCUCCAGAGAAGUGUUCAAUGAGGUCAGCAGAGCACUGAUGCUUUCGCUCUCACCAAAGUGCAGUGUGUUUCUGUGUCAUUCAGUUCACUUGACAGCAUGAUUACGUCUGAGAGGAAUGUAACACCAGGCCAUGUAUGUGCAAAUCUCAAGCUGGACCCUAAACGCACCAAGGCAUGUAAAUGUGUAUAUGAAUGUCUUGUGUCAGCCCCAAUUUUCAAAAGCCGAGUAAGUAAUGUAAUUAAAAGUUUCUUUGGAAACCAGAAAGUCAUUAUAAGUGUCAGAGCUCCCUCUGUUGGAAAAGUGAAGGAACUCUUUCACUCUGUGUCAGAGGCUGGAGAGUAGUUAGUUAAACUCUAAACAUAACUAACUGUUGAUGUUAUUCCAGUUGCAUCUUUAACUAGGUAAACAUAACUGUGUGAUCACCAUCCAUAUUAAAGGUUGUUUAUCCUCCUUUAUCAAUAUAAUCUUUUGUUAUUUUUAUUUAUCCAGACUUAUCAGCUCAUUAUUCAGCAUAUCAACAUAUUUAUUGAGUUGGGCUGAAGUUAAAGUAAAUGUUAAUCUUGGCUUGUUUUUUCUUGUUGUGUUUUGCAAAUCUCACAAACUGCGAUUGGACUUUCAGACUGUGGAGUUUCAGAGGCUAAACAAACUAUGAAGGUCAUAAAAACAACAUUGAAUAGAAAAGCAUAAAAAGUCAUAAAAGGUAACAGUAUAGUAAGGCAUUAAAGGCAAAAAAACAACAGAAUAGAAGGGCAUAGAAAGUCGUAAAAAAGUCAUUGUAUAGUAAGACAUAGAAAAGUCAUAGAACACAGUAUAGUGAAGCAUAAAAAAUCAUUAAAACAUCUUUGUAUAGUAAGGCAUAAGAGUCAUAAAAAUGACACAGUAUAGUACAGCAUAAAAAGGUCAUACUAUAGGAAGGCAUAAAACCUCAUAAAACCCACACAGUAUAGUAAGGCAUAAAAACUCUGAAAAGGUCAUACUAUAGAAAGUCAUAAUAAGUCAUAAAAAAGUCAUAGAAAGGCAUGGAAUGUCAUAAAAACGACAUAGUAUAGUAAGGGAUAAAAAGUUAUUAAAAAUUUCACAGUAUAGUAAGGGAUAAUAAGUCAUAAAAAGUCAUAGUAUAGUAAGGCAUAAAAAGUCAUAAAAAUAACACGGUAUAGUAAGGCAUAAAAAGUAAUAAAAAAGUCAUAAUAUGGUAAGGCAUAAAAAGUCAUAAAAAUAACACGGUAUAGUAAGGCAUAAAAAGUCAUAAAAAUAACACGGUAUAGUAAGGCAUAAAAAGUCAUAAAAAAGUCAUAGUAUAGUAAGGCAUAAAAAGUCAUAAAAAUAACACGGUAUAGUAAGGCAUAAAAAGUCAUAAAAAAGUCAUAGUAUAGUAAGGCAUAAAAAGUCAUAAAAAUAACACGGUAUAGUAAGGCAUAAAAAGUCAUAAAAAAGUCAUAGUAUAACAAGGUAUAAAAAGUCAUAAAAAAGUCAUAGUAUAGUAAGGUAUAAAAAAUCAAAACAUCAUGUAUAGUAAGGCAUAAAAAGUCAUAAAAACGACACAGUAUAGUAAGGCAUAAAAAGUCAUAGUAUAGUAAGGCAUAAAAACUCAUGAAAAAGUCAUAGUAUAGAAAGUCAUAAAAAAUCAAAACGUCAUAGUAAGGCAUAAAAAGUCAUAAAAAAGUCAUAGUAUAGUAAGGCAUAAAAAGUCAUAGUAUAGUAGGCCAUAAAAAGUCAUAAAAACAACACGGUAUAGUAAGGCUUAAAAAGUCAUAAAAAGUCAUAGUAUAGUAAGGCAUAAAAACUCAUGAAAAAGUCAUAGUAUAGAAAGUCAUAAAAAAUCAAAACGUCAUAGUAAGGCAUAAAAAGUCAUAAAAAAGUCAUAGUAUAGUAAGGCAUAAAAAGUCAUAGUAUAGUAGGCCAUAAAAAGUCAUAAAAACAACACGGUAUAGUAAGGCUUAAAAAGUCAUAAAAAAGUCAUAGUAUGGUAAGGUAUAAAAAGUCAUAAAAAAGUCAUAGUAUAGUAAUUCAUAAAAACGACAUAGUAUAGUGAGGCAUAAAAAAUCCUGAAAAGGUCAUACUAUAGAAAGUCAUAAAAAGUCAUAAAAAAGUCAUAGUAUAGUAAGGCAUAAAAAGUCAUAAAAAAGUCAUAGUAUAGUAAGGCAUAAAAAGUCAUAGUAUAGUAAGGUAUAAAAAGUCAUAAAAACGACACAGUAUAGUAAGGUAUAAAAAGUCAUAAAAACGACAUAGUAUAGUGAGGCAUGAAUAGUCAUGAAAAGGUCAUACUAUAGAAAGUCAUAAAAAGUCCUAAAAAAGUCAUUGUAUAGUAAGGCAUAAAAAGUCAUAGUAUAGUAAGGCAUAAAAAGUCAUAGUAUAGUAAGUCAUAAAAAGUCAUAAAAAAAGUCAUAGUAUAGUAAGUCAUAAAAAGUCAUAAAAAAAGUCAUAGUAUAGUAAGGCAUAAAAAGUCAUAAAAACAACACGGUAUAGUAAGACAUAAAAAGUCAUAAAAAAGUCAUAGUAUAGUAAGGCAUAAAAAGUCAUAAAAAUAACACGGUAUAGUAAGGCAUAAAAAGUCAUAAAAAAGUCAUAGUAUAGUAAGGUAUAAAAAAUCAAAACAUCAUAGUAUAGUAAGGCAUAAAAAGUCAUAAAAACGACAUAGUAUAGUAAGGCAUAUAAAGUCAUAGUAUAGUAAGGCAUAAAAACUCAUGAAAAAGUCAUAGUAUAGAAAGUCAUAAAAAAUCAAAAUGUCAUAGUAUAGUAAGGCAUAAAAAGUCAUAAAAACAACACGGUAUAGUAAGGCAUAAAAAGUCAUAAAAAAGUAAUAGUAUAGUAAGGUAUAAAAAGUCAUAAAAAAGUCAUAGUAUAGUAAGGCAUAAAAAGUCAUAGUAUAGUAGGCCA